UUCUCCCAAUAACACUUUUCUCAGACAACAUUGUAUCAGAUCGUUGGCGCUAACCAUUAAUUUCAAAAGCUCGAGCAGCUAGAAAGGUAUAAUCAAUUCACUUAAAAUGUAUAGAUACAGCGUUUACGGGUCUCGAUUGUAACUCAGCCCAAUCAGCCUUCCGCCACUUCGAACAUGACUCAGCCUAAUCUAACCUCCUAUUAUUAAUUUCGAACAUGACUCAGCCCAACCCUGCCUUCUGCCACAGGACAGGAUGUUGGCGCCUUUAAGCCAACGC
rnacentral:lncRNA from 1 species